rnacentral:rRNA from 1 species
UACGGAAGGGGCAAGCGUUGUUCGGAAUCAUUGGGCGUAAAGGGCGCGUAGGUGGUUCUGUAUGUCUAUCGUGAAAGCGUACGGCUCAACCGUAUUUUGUCGGUAGAAACUGCAGGACUUGAGGCUGGGAGGGGCUGGUGGAAUUCCCUGUGUAGCGGUGAAAUGCGUAGAGAUGGGGGAGAACACUCGUGGCGAAGGCGGCCAGCUAGACCAGUUCUGACACUGAGGCGCGACAGCGUGGGGAUCAAACAGG